rnacentral:rRNA from 1 species
AUACCACUUGGAAACAGGUGCUAAUACCGGAUAAGAAAGCAGAUCGCAUGAUCAGCUUUUAAAAGGCGGCGUAAGCUGUCGCUAUGGGAUGGCCCCGCGGUGCAUUAGCUAGUUGGUAAGGUAAAGGCUUACCAAGGCGAUGAUGCAUAGCCGAGUUGAGAGACUGAUCGGCCACAUUGGGACUGAGACACGGCCCAAACUCCUACGGGAGGCAGCAGAC